rnacentral:rRNA from 1 species
GACGAACGCUGGCGGCGUGCUUAACACAUGCAAGUCGAACGGAAAGUCCCCUUUGAGGGUCCUCGAGUUGCGAACGGGUGAGUAACACGUGAGUAACCUGCCCUUAACUUCGGGAUAACUUCAGGAAACUGGGGCUAAUACUGGAUAGGAAUCCUUUCUGCCUGUUGGGGGUUGGAAAGCUGCGGUGGUUUUGGAUGGACUCGCGGCUUAUCAGCUUGUUGGUGGGGUAGUGGCUUACCAAGGCUUUGACGGGUAGCCGGCCUGAGAGGGCGACCGGCCACAAUCGGAACGGGAUACGGCACAGACUCCUGCGGGAGGCAGCAGGGGGGAAUAUUGAACAAUGGGCGGAAGCCGGAUGCAGGAACGCGGCGUGCGGGAUGACGGACUUCGGGUUGGAAGCCGUAUUCAGCAGGGGCGAAGCUUGUGGUGAAGGUACCUGCAGAAGAAGCACCGGCUAACUACGGG